GCCCGAAUAGCUCAGUCGAAAGAGCUUUAGGUUUUAAACCUAUCGGUCCGGUGUUCGAGUCCCUGUUCGGGCG